UGCAAAACCACAUUUGUCUCCAGAGUUUUCCAGACUGCAGAAGCCAAGGUGUAUAAAGAUGCAGCUAAUUUCAGAUGAAUACCCCAGGGCUCAGACUGUGAUACAUCUAUCUACCCAUGGCAGACCUCUCCCCUGAUUUCCAGCCCAUAAGUGUAUCCCACUGGGAAGUGACUGCACCAAAUUUGAGAUCAAGAUGGCUCAUUUCAUAUCAAACUUCUUAGUCGCAUCCUGUGGAUCCCAGGAUAAAGUUUACACCCUUCAGCCUGAUUUGCGAGACCGCACCACCUUGUCCCUGUGCAUCUCCAGCUCCAGCUCAUUCCAAUUCCUAGCACAUGUCUUAUGCACCGACCAUGCCACCCUCUUUGUGAAAAUGCUUGGUGUUUCCUGGGUCAAGGUUGGCUAAUAUUUGUAGCUCCAUAUAUAUUGCUAUGUGACCAGCUGGCUAAGCAAGACAUGGAGGCUGCACAUUGGAGAAUUCAGGAGGCUUUCCAUUGAAGGAAGUCAAGUCACUCAUGGCCAAAGCUUUCACCACUAUCCUAUUAAGAAUAUCCUAUUAACUGCUAACCUUAGUAGUUAACACACAACAAUUACAAAUGACUUAUAGACAUAUCA